ACCUCAUGGUUAGGACAUUUCAUAAGCUUGUCCUUAAAUAUCCCCCAUGCUUCAUACAAAGGCUCCUCACUGAAUUGACAAAAAAUUAUGAUUUCAUCAUGCAAUU